GCCAACUUAGCUCAGUCGGUAGAGCAAUUCACUCGUAAUGAAUAGGUCGCGGGUUCGAUUCCCGCAGUUGGCUCCA
rnacentral:tRNA from 1 species